rnacentral:sRNA from 1 species
UGGAAACGGUUACCGACUCGGCAAUGC